GGUGAUUAUAUAACAGUCAUUGUCAACUUUGUCUUCCAUUAAUUUGUUUCGCUAUUUCUGUUUGAAUCUUUGAUAAUUGGGUUUGCAUGCUUGCAUAAUAUAACUGGUAAUGAUUGUUGUUGAAUGUUCCUCUGUUGCAAGUUUUAUGAUCGUAUUGAAUUACAGUUGGAAGCUUUGGAAGUAACAUGCCAAAAUUGUUAACUGAAUGAGGGCAUGUGAUUGUUCAUAAGUUCUUCCAUAUACCGACAGAGAUAUUAUUGAUAAACCAAGCUACGAGUAUUUACACAAAAUUUGGUAACUAAAGUAGUUUUUGCAUGCAUAUUUGAAAAGCAAUGUCAUUACUCAUCAAAUGACCCAUUUUAGACUUUUUCCUUCUUGCUUGUGAGGAUAGGAUUCUGUUUUAUGCUUUCAAUAACAUGAUGUAUUCAUUGUCCUUUUCUAGUAUACUAUGAGGUUAUAUUUUAACUAUUACAUUGUUCGUUGUCAAACAUUUUGAGAAUUAUAAGCAUGGGCCCAAUAAUUUCCUGGGAAGAAUGUGCAAUAAAGUUUUUAGAUGUACUUCUCCUGUCCAUGUGUUGGAUGAUUUGUCUUUUAAUUUGAUAAUCUUCUAGAAGAAUAAAACAGUUUUAACCACUACAAAUGUUGAAGCUUACAUCCUAGAGUGCCGAGUGACUAAUUAUGUUCAAAAUGUGUUGAUGCAUCUGCUCUCCAUUUGAGAUUUCUAGCUGACUGUUUAAUUUUGUUCACCUUAAUUAGCUCUUGUUUCAUGUGCAAAAAGCAAUUUGGCAUAAAGACGACUGCUUAGAGUUGAAAAUAUUUCAGCUUCCAUACUUCCAUUAGCGUCUUAUUUUGGGAAAAUUAUAAUUUUAUUCCUAUCUCAACUCUAUAUUUGAUUGGGGGUUAUAUGUAGAUGCAUUAAAGUAUCUAUGGUAAUUUCUUGGAUAGGUUGCAAUUGGUAGGAGGCUUGGUAUUGAGGAACCGCAGCUUAUGAAGUUUAUGAGAGCAAUGCUUCACACGCACAAUGAGUGGUUUAAACUUCAAAUGUGUAAAGAUCACUUUGAAAGUCUUUUGAGGAUUGAUUCCUUGAAAGAAGUUAAUACUCCCAUGCUUUCUGCAUGUUCAUUGUCGAAGUCAAAUGCUGAUAGCUGCACCCAGGGAUCCAACCAAGUUACAGUAUCUUCAAGCACCAAAUUGUCUGAAGAUGGUGGCAGUCCAACUCAAGUGUCAUCCAGAGAUGUUGUAUGUGAUGAAAAUGCAAUACUCAAAGUUAUGGUAAGUUGUGCAUGUCUUGCUGUGCUGCAGUUUUGAUUAUUCCUCUCUCUUCCUGAUUCUCUCUCUUUCUCUCCAUUGGGGUAAUCAAGUCAAACUUAUUCUGGAAAAAAAAAAAAAAAAAGCACUGGAGCUGCUGCAGUAAAGUUAAUCCAUUUUUGACCUGGAGGACACGAGUUCAAGCCAUGGAAACAGCCUCUCUGCAAAGCAGGGAUAAGGCUGCAACCAGUCCAAAAUUUUGUACAUAUAAUCUCAAAUACUCCUGAAAAUUCUAGCCAAAUUAGUCUCUUUGUCUUCAUGAAUAACCCUUUUUCUAGCUCUUCGUGUAUAAUACAAGUAUUCAUUCAAUGCUAAUCUUCAUAAUGAGAAUAGGCCAAUGCAGGCAUACUUGUUACUGUUUCAUUAAUGUCCGGUCUGUGCUUUUUGUCUCUGCCCUCUUUCUCUUAACUACAAUUGGACUUCUGUUUUGCUCUUACAAAGAUAGUGUACUUGCCUAAAUUGAUCUGUUUUACUACUAGGAAAGCUUUUUUGAGCUUUUCAAUCAUGCUUUAUGCAAAAUAGUGAACAGAAAAUAAUUCUAGGGAAUGUUUUAUCUCAACAUUUUUCCUCUGCAAAGAUCAGCCUCAUCUUUAGGAUAUUGCAAAAUGUAUUGUUUACAGAAAAUAAUUUUAGGGAAACAUCUUAUCUCUACUUCUCUAAAAUGGUUGCUCUGAAAAGUCGAUUAUUUUAAUUGUCUGUAAUUUCACCUUAAAUAAACCAAGUCUUUGUUUUAUCCAUCUUCAACUUGUGCUCAUCACAGUGUCUCGCAUAGCUGUUGUUUAAUUAAUGGAUUGAUGCAGGAAUUUCUUGCUUUGCCAAGGGCUGAUGCCAUCCAUCUCCUUGCACAGUACAAUGGAAAUGCCGAGACGGUCAUCCAGCAAAUAUUUGCAUAGCUUGGGAUGUACAACUGUAUCAAAAAAACUUUUAUUUGUUUUAUUUAUUUCGAAGAAAUAUUAUUUUAUUCAAUUUGUAUCAUAGCUGUAGAUAUACAAAUACGAUGACUUGCAUAGUGAUAGCGCUAGUACCAUAUGCCAAAGAACACAGCCUUUUUUGUUGGUCUCUGUACAUUUUACAUCAUGUGUUCUUGUCAUUAAUAAAGCAAAUUAUUUAAUCGAC
rnacentral:misc_RNA from 1 species